rnacentral:rRNA from 1 species
AGUGAACGCUGGCGGUAGGCCUAACACAUGCAAGUCGAACGGCAGCACAGUAAGAGCUUGCUCUUACUGGUGGCGAGUGGCGGACGGGUGAGGAAUACAUCGGAAUCUACUUUUUCGUGGGGGAUAACGUAGGGAAACUUACGCUAAUACCGCAUACGACCUACGGGUGAAAGCAGGGGAUCUUCGGACCUUGCGCGAUUGAAUGAGCCGAUGUCGGAUUAGCUAGUUGGCGGGGUAAAGGCCCACCAAGGCGACGAUCCGUAGCUGGUCUGAGAGGAUGAUCGGCAACACUGGAACUGGGACACGGUCCAGACUCCUACGGGAGGCAGCAGUGGGGAAUAUUGGACAAUGGGCGCAAGCCUGAUCCAGCCAUACCGCGUGGGUGAAGAAGGCCUUCGGGUUUUAAAGCCCUUUUGUUGGGAAAGAAAAGCAGCAGGUUAAUACCCCGCUGUUCUGACGGUACCCAAAGAAUAAGCACCGGCUAACUUCGUG